rnacentral:misc_RNA from 1 species
AACGCAACUUGCGCCACUCUGUGGCAUGUCUGUUUGAGCACCAUAUACCCUCUGUCGCAAGACGAAUUGUCCAGUCGCUGCGCUGGAUCAAAUGGAGUGGUAUCCCCUCCACGGGUGUGGUGGUGACGAACCGAGCUAGAGGCCUCUGGUCUUGUCGGAGAGUCAUCCACCCCCCUUUUGAUUGGUCUCAAAUCAGGCAAGACUACCCGCUGAACUUAA